AAGAAAGAAAGAAAGAAAGAAAGAAAGAAAGAAAGAAAGAAAGAAAGAAAGAAAGAAAGAAAGAAAGAAAGAAAGAAAGAAAGAAAGAAAGAAAGAAAAAGAAAGAAAGAAAGAAAGAAAAAGUAUUUAGUCAUUCAGUUUGCAUUGAUCUGUGAUAAUCCAGUUAUGAGUGGUGUUAUAGAUUCCCCUACCUCCCGUCUCUGCUCUUAUGGCCUCAGUGAUGAUGCUUUAGGAUAUUUUUUCAGUUAAAAGAGUCUGAUUAAUAAUGAUGGCAAUUAGCAAACAAAGUAAAACAAUUUGCAGACAUGCUUUCCAUCCUUUCAUUUGGAGGAAAAAUAGCUUAGCUUUACUCAGUCGGAGAUUUCUGUGCAGUAAAGCAGAAGGAAAUUUACCUAUGAGCGCUGCAGCUUUGGUGUGACAUUGUCACAGGCCAGAGAAUCUCUGGGAUAUUUCAGCCCCACCUGGACAUUUUAUUGGCACACACUAUCUUGAGAAACCCUUUUGGGGCCAGCAGAGAUUGAAAACUUGCAGGGUGUAUUGAGUAAAAUGAGUCUGUGACAAAGAUAAGGCAAUCAGUAAAUCGAAAUCUGCUGAUAGUGGUCAGGGACAGAAAUGAUGUAGCAGGAUCUGUAUGUCAGUACAGGAGAUGGAGAUAAGGGACAACAUCAGAUGGAUGUCAAGAAAUCCUCUCAGAUCAGGCUGGGCCACCUCACCCCCACCCUCACAAUGCCUGGCUCUUAAAACUGCAUUCCCAGAAUUGUCUUCAGAGGCAAGAAGCUCCAGAGGAAAAUGGAAAGCUUUUGAUAAGGUCCAAGAAACUCCUCCUGGAGCUUUUUACUGCUUUGGAUUUCUUAUCAUUUUCACCAAACAGGGACUGAAUCUCCGCACCAUUCCACCAUUGAAGUGAGAUUUUCCAACUGCCAGGGCUGUCUGCUCUUCCUGAAGGAUGUUGGAGAGAGAAGAACAGGAGGAAGCUCUAUAUUUUUCCAGUGCCAGACAAGGAGAUAUCAUUGCCUGCAUUGGAUGGAUUAGGGGAACAUUUCUUCUGCAGACAGAACCCUUAUAGAACCCAUUAUGGGCGUGUUUAUAUCUGUUCCUGGGAAGAUCUAACAUCUGCAACUUCCCUGGAUGGGCCAUCAAGCCUGGUGUGGCUGCUCCUGUUUCCCUGCAGUUCUUCCAAUAAAACUUGUCCAGGUCCAUUAACA
rnacentral:lncRNA from 1 species